CUCAGGGAGAGAGAGGGAGGGAGGCUGGGCAAAGAGCAUCUGUUCCCUCCAUUCUCCUAGCUCCAUCGGCUGCCAACCUAGGGCCAUCGCCUGCCUCCAUCACCCCUUCGCCUGCCUGCCUACCACCCAAUCCCAAAUGGGUACUGGAUCAGGUGCCGAAUCUGGCUGCCUCCUCGGGCAUGGGCACGGCAGCUGCCACCCUGGUGCCCAUGGAGAUGGGAGGGGAUGAGUGGAGGAGCAGCGACAGGAGUCCUUGUGCUCUGGGAGGAAGAUGUGGAGAGCUGAAUGACAGACGGGGUGCCGCAUGAGGACACAAUGGAGGGAGCGUGCCAUCGCUAAGACCCCAAGGAAGAAGCGUGCUGGCCUCCAGUCAUCUCCCCGCUGAAGAUGGCCGUAUCCUGUAUCCUCUAGCCUGGUCUAUGCCCUCUGCAAGAGUCUUCAGCAGCACUGGAUUUCCCUAAUUCCUGGGUAGGCAGAGGCUGUAGGCCAUCAGCCUGGAAGAUCUGGAGAAAAAUGCAGCUUUGGGUAAAGUCAAAGGAGAGGCUAGAUGGCUCUCAGUGACAAGGCCUGCUCAUGGGAAGUAAGGGGGCGGAGUUGUUGCCCAUGCUGGGCGGAGCUUCGCUGGGCUGGGGGAGUUCUGAUUUUAACAUCUCUGGAAGCGGAUGGCAGCUUCAGAAGAAGCAAGGUUUCCACAGGAGAAGAGAAAGCAGGAGGUCUUCGGCCAACACGGACUGAGUACCUUGUGAUCCCUCACAAGGUUUAAGGCAAAGACAGGCAAGAUGAUUUGCACCUCCUGCCUCCCAGCAAUGACCCUGGAGUGAGAAGUGACCUGGAUUUAGGUGUUUCUUUAGAGUUGUGUAUGUUAGGAAUCCCGAAGAAGCCACUGUGGACCCAUCUAAUGAGGUCCUAGUCCAGGCUCGCUUACCAGAUGGGCAGAAGCAUUUGGAAGUGUUACCCUGCCUGCCUUUCGUCUGUUAUUCCACGAGAUCCUGCUGACUUGAUGGUCAUCUCUAGGGUUCUUCAGACACCAGCUCCCCUGGUGUGCGCGGCUGUCUGAUGUGGUAGUGUUGCUGUUCAGUGUGGCCUAAGACUGCAGACUGGUCCACCCUGGAAAGUGUGCUGACUGACCUGUCAGCAACUCCAAGGUUCCUGGGAAAGUGCAGUUGCUCGGUCAAUUUCUGUCUACUGUUGUGACUACAUGGCGUGUCCCAGGCCACUGUGUUCAGAAACCAGAACUGCCCCCAACUGUGCCCUUCUUCUGGGGACGGCAAAGACUCUUGAACAAGGCUUUCCAACCACUGAGAAUGAGAUGCAUCCUGUAUCCUGAUACAUGUUCACCUCGGGGGAUGGGAGUCAUGUCUAUAUUACCAGUCCUCUCAGAGUCUUGGCACAGCAAGGCUGCAGAGCCUCCAGUCCUGUGGAUCGCCCAAUGAGGACUUCGAGGCAUCAGAGCUCAGAUUGGCCUGCAGCAAGGCUCACUGAGUCGGGGAGAGCCGGACAGGAAAAGAAGGACUUGUGAUUGGCAGCGGUGCUCUCUCAAGGCCAGCUCCUCCCAGCCCCCCAACUCACCGGAACUGAAAGAAGCUAUGCUUCCAAGUGGUGGCUGGGCCAGAGUCGGGCCUGGCAAGAGGACAGGAGCCAGGCGAGGCAGGGUCGGGGAAGCCCCCAAGGGCACGGAGGCGGGUGUGGCGGCCGGCGGCCCUUUGGGCGCCAGCGGGGCCUCGGGGGCUGGAGCUAAGUCGUAGCAUUUGCUUUCGCUCUUCAGCUGGGCUCGGACUGCCUCCUUGAGCUUGGCCAGGUGCUGGCGGGAGAAGAGGUGGCCUCGGCAGGAGACGUAGAAGUCGUACUUGACAUCACAGUAGGGGCAGUCGGUGCGCUGGGCCGCCGAGGAGCCCUCGCUGCUGCUCCCGCCGCCCCCGGCAGUUUGUGCUGACCCCUGCAGUUUGGCUUUCUUCUCCUUGGCACGAGCAUUUUGGAACCAGACCUGAAUGACUCUCUUGGGCAGUCCAAUUUCCUCCCCCAGCACCUCACACUCCUGCAUAGUAGGGGUGCGGUAGGCUUCAUAGCAGGCUUUCAUGAUCUUCAGCUGCAGGCUGCUCAUCUGGGUCCUGUAGCGCCGCUGCCCCAUUCCAUCUGGGACCCCAGCCCCACUUCCUGGCCCCCCACUGGUCCCCCCAGCCCCAGGGGACUCUGGCUCAGCCAGGCUGGAAGUGGAUGAGUCACUCAGGUCUCCUGCAGAUGGGCUGCAAGCCUCGUUUUCUGGAGAUACUUUAGAGGGGUCCUCUGGGCCUUCAUCCUCACUGAGUGCGGGGGCUGGGAGGGGCAGAGGGGGCUCUGGUGUUGGCACAGUGGCCUCCUUCCCCGGCGGUAGGAACGACAGAGGCCCCGCAGCAGGGGUGACGGCGGGGUAGGGGAAAGCGGGGGCUUCUCUCUUGGGGGCUUCCUUCCUGGUGUCGUCUUCCAUCUUGCUCAACAGGAGGUUGAAUUUGGGGAAGGGUGCGGGCGUGGGUGUAACGGUGGGUUUCACCGCUGGACCAGCUACUCCCCCAGGGGUGCUUCGAAACUGGCCUUUCCGCUCCCGGGCUCGGGUGUUCUGGAACCAGACCUGAACUACUCGCUUUUUGAGCCCCACCUCCUCAGAGAUGCAGUCGAGCAUCUUCCGCGUGGGGUUGGAGUCCUGCAUGUACCAGCGGUACAGGAUCUCGAGCUGCUCGGGCAAGAUGGUAGUGCGCAGGCGCUUGUCUUUGGGGGGUUCACCCUCUCCUCCACCUCCUGCUUCACUGCCCGUGGGCGACAGGCUGCCAUCGUCAUGCUUCCGCUUGAGGGGCGCCCCUGCCACCGAGGAGGCGCCCGACACUCCGGGGUUCCGCUCCCCGAACACCAGCAGAGGCAGCUCCAGGGGCUGUGGCGGAGCGCUGGGCUGCGCGCACGGUGGGAAAUGCAGUCUGCGGUGAGCCGCCAGGAGGUCCUGGCUGGGGAAGGACGCGGGACACUGGUCACAGGCGUGGGCGGGAGGCGACGGGCAUGCCUUCCCUUCCGACUCUUGGCCUUCGGGCCCUGUUGGCUCUGCUGGGCUCAGGGCCUCCCCACCCGCGGGGUCCGGUGACGGGCCGCCAGGCCCAUCUGCAGGGUCGGGGUUGCGCUCCUCCACCUCUUCUUCUUCCACCUCCUCUUCCUCCUCCCCUCCCUCGGCCUCCUCCUCCUCGGGAGGCUGGUCGUCAUCAUAGCACUUCUUGAGGUGCCGAACCAACUCGAAAACACAGGCGAAGGUGGCGUGGCAGCGUCUGCAGCCCGAGGCUCCCCCGGCAGUGCUUCCUCCGGCUGCCACAGGCCCGCCCUCACUGGCAUUUUUGCGGGCUUUCUGGCGGGCAUUCUGGAACCAGACCACCACCACACGACUAGCCAGACCCAGGAGGUUUGCGAGGCCGCUCCACCUCUCCAUCCUUGGGGUAGGCACUGGUCUCAAAGAAAGACUGCAGAGCCUGGGUCUGGAACUCUGUGAACUUGGUUCUGGAGAAGCGGCGGCCUGUGGGCACCGCGGGGGGCACAGUCCCUCUGGAGCCUUCCUCUUCCUCCGGGGGCCAGUGCGCCCCGGCCAGACUUCGCUCCUCACAAGUGUGGAUCCCUGCUACUUCGGGCUCUGCAACCAUGAAAGGUGGGCCUAGCUGGGGAGGUGACUCCAGGGACCCAUCGGGAGGUUUGGGGGGCUCUACCGGGGGUGGGUACAGGCUGUCAUAGCUCUUUCGAAACUGAGCUGCGUAACGACUCAGGGCCUCAAAGGGCAGAAAGCGGCGGUGAACAUGUUCCUCGUGAGUCUUGAGGAUAAGCAUGUUGGAGAAGAGUUUCCCACAGGCCCCACAGGCCAGCUUGUCUGCACCCCCCAGGGACUCUGGAGGAGGGGGCGUUGGGGGAGGGGGCACGGCCUGCUUCCCUUCGUUGUACUGAAUCACCAACUCAAAGCCAAAGUUUUCCAGAAGGGCCUUGGCUGCCGUGCGGGCAGCCUCACUGGGCGAUGUGUGGGGUGGUGAGGAGGGCCCUGCCUCACUCCCCUCUUCAGCUGUGAGGGGCCGCUCCCACUCCUGCUCGGCCAGCUCAGCCUUGGGGGGUGCAGGGAGAGGAGGUGGGGUGGCAGCUGGGAGGGACAGCAUGGGUGCAGGACCAGCCAGUGCCAGCUUGGGCCCCACUUUGAGGUCAUGGAUGUAGAAGGGGAGCAGCAGCUGCUGCUGCUGGAGCUUAAGCAGCGAUUCUGGAACCAGAGGGAAGGGGGGCAGGACUGGUGG